GGAAGUUUGGAGUUAGCAUAAACAAACUAUUUUAUAUAGGAUGGAUAACACAAGGUCCUACGGUACAGCACAGGGAACUAUAUUCACUACCGUGUGAUAUGCCAUAAUGGAAAAGAAUAUUAAACAAGACUAUAUAUAUAUAUGUAU